rnacentral:rRNA from 1 species
UACGUAGGGGGCAAGCGUUGUCCGGAAUCACUGGGCGUAAAGGGCGCGUAGGCGGUCAAUUAAGUCAGAUGUGAAAGACCAGGGCUCAACCUUGGGGUUGCAUUUGAAACUGGUUGACUUGAGUGCAGGAGAGGAAAGUGGAAUUCCCGGUGUAGCGGUGAUAUGCGUAGAUAUCGGGAGGAACACCAGUGGCGAAGGCGGCUUUCUGGACUGUAACUGACGCUGAGGCGCGAAAGCUGGGGGAGCGAACAGGAUUAGAUACCCUGGUAGUCCCAGCCGUAAACGAUGGGUACUAGGUGUUGGGGCUGUCAUGGCUUCAGUGCCGGAGUUAACGCAAUAAGUACCCCGCCUGGGGAGUACGGCCGCAAGGUUGAA